rnacentral:pre_miRNA from 8 species
UCACCUCCUGCUGACUCCCACCCCGAGGUAUCCUGUACUGAGCUGCCCCGAGCUGGGCAGCAUGAAGGGCCUCGGGGCAGCUCAGUACAGGAUGCCCCAGGGAGGAUGGAGAUCAGAGCCGGCC